rnacentral:rRNA from 1 species
CCUACGGGAGGCUGCAGUGGGGAAUAUUGGACAAUGGGCGAAAGCCUGAUCCAGCCAUGCCGCGUGUGUGAAGAAGGCCUUCGGGUUGUAAAGCACUUUCAGUGGGGAAGAAAGCCUUGGGGCUAAUACCCUCGAGGAAGGACAUCACCCACAGAAGAAGCACCGGCUAACUCCGUGCCAGCAGCCGCGGUAAUACGGAGGGUGCGAGCGUUAAUCGGAAUUACUGGGCGUAAAGCGCGCGUAGGCGGUCUGAUAAGCCGGUUGUGAAAGCCCCGGGCUCAUCCUGGGAACGGCAUCCGGAACUGUCAGGCUAGAGUGCAGGAGAGGAAGGUAGAAUUCCCGGUGUAGCGGUGAAAUGCGUAGAGAUCGGGAGGAAUACCAGUGGCGAAGGCGGCCUUCUGGACUGACACUGACGCUGAGGUGCGAAAGCGUGGGUAGCAAACAGGAUUAGAUACCCUAGUAGUC